GCAUUGCCUUGCUUUAGGCAUAAGAGAUUAGACGAAAAUUUCUCCUCUUGGGUGAGUGACCUAGAUUUUGAUCUAGGAUUUUUCAGAGAGAGAAAAACAAAGAGAAAAAUUAUUUAUCUAUUUUUCUUCCUACCUCUCUUCAUCCUCUAUUGGUCUAUCUUCGACAUCGGAAGGGUCCAAGUCAUUCGAAGAAAGAAAUCAAG
rnacentral:lncRNA from 1 species